GGAUGAACACGACAACAUUUGGACCGUAAACGAUUUGUCAGCACCUGAGGACAGCCAUUUAAUUAUUUCGCUGAAGGUGUCCAGGAAAUGACAUCCAAGAAGGGAUUGGCCAGGUAGCCGUCAGCGUCGAAAGAGUAAUCUCGUCCACCAAGCGUGAUGUUGCUGAAGUACCUGUGUAGCGAUAGACGGAGGAGACGGGAAGAGACGGAUAAUCCCCAAAGACCAUUAUCCAAGACAUGUCACAUCAUAAGGUGGACUGGCUGCUGUCUUGGGAAGUUGCAUCAGGAAUUCUCUGGACAGAACCCACAGUAGGGUUUCAUUCAUUCUAACUAGCUCUACUGCACUGAUAUGAAUAAAAAUGUCAUUGCAACAAUAAAAUAUCACAUAUUAAACCAGGGAUUGCGGUCUAAAUUUUACCAUGUACAUUUUUAGUAGUUUGGAGUACUUUUAAAUAGUUGUUUCAAAUGCUUUGGAGAGGGGUGAAAUAUUAGAAACACCUCUCAGUACGAUAAAAAUGGCAAUAACGGCAUACUCGGAGCUCAAUCUUUUACAUGAAUCCUUUCCUUUCUGCUUGUUAAUAGAGUUGAUAUCGCACCACCGUCAAUAUGCAGUGCAUUUGCAUAAUGUGCUGUACAUUCAUGAAUAAAAAGCCAGGCUGAUUGUUGCUUUUGGCUUUCUUUUAAAGCAAGUAGCAAGAUGAAAAUCAGCAACAUAUUGCAUAUGAGAUUUUCAGCAAAUUCAGGGGGAACUGCAAAUAAAUACUGGUGCACACCAACAAAAACACUGUUACUUUUUAUCCAUAGGUGCAUGUAUGAUUUUAAAAUACAGUCAUACUUCAAGAUAUGGAAUUCAUUCGUUCCGUAGUGGUUUUCGUACUGAUUUUUUUGUCACCUCGUAGUGGCGCUUAAAUGUAACUAGUUUGUUAGGUUCCAUCUCGUUCUGCCGACGUUAUUACAUGACUACUCAAACUCAUCGAAAUUUGGACAGUUUUUGGCUCAACAAUGUUGUUAAACAAUUCAUAAAUGCUGCUGA